CGCUGCGGGAGGGUAUGGGGCGCACAUUUGCAAAGACGAAUCCGGAGCAUUGUGAGAUCCACAAACAAAAGGCAUCACUCAAAGGUGCUGCAAUCAGGUUCGUGGAGUUUUGGGAACCAGACAGCUCUGGUGUCCCCCACCCCCAAGCCCUCAACCCGCGGUGUCACAGCCCCCUGGACUGCAGCCAGCCCUAGAAACCAGCGUUCUGAGGCUGUGUGCGCUCCGCAGCGCCCCCCGGCACCCCCCCCCCCAUCUCCCUGCAGCCACCCAGGUUAUGCUCUGCUGGCAGCACAGAAAAACCCCGCUGGGCUGCAACAGGUCUAUGACUCAGUUAUCAAAGCCCUCGCUCUGCUUGGGGUUUGGGGAAAUUUCCGCAGUCAGGUGGGUGCUGCAUGCCGCAAGGCGUCGUGACAAAAGGAACCAACGUAAGAGCAGAAGCAGAACACGCUUCUGCUCAUUGAUUUGAAUCAGAAUGCGGGUCGUCAAUGGAGAUGCGCGUGACUGUAGAAUUCCUUCUACACCUGAGCUCCAAACAGAUUGCAGCUCCUGUCAUACCUUGGCAACUAAUAGAAGCAAUGAGAGAGAAAUGGUAAAAAUAAAUCAUUCCAGCCCGGAGAGCAUCUCCAUAUGGUUCUCAAAGUGGUUGUUCGUCAGAAAGUUGAUGAAAGUUGGUACUAGCUCACCAUCACUGGACCAAAUCCGUCCCCUUGUGACAAUGACAUUCCUCUUGUGAUCUGUGAAAGUGUCGCUCACCCUGGAAUCAGUGGUGUCUUUGUAACCCCGAUUUGCAAAUGUUCUCGGGGCCUGGAUGGUUUUCUGAUUUGUCCUCUAACUCCAAAGAUUGCCUGAGAAUAUUCUAGAAGUAGUUGUUUGUGGUAGUCAUCAUUUCUGUCUACUGACUGAAAUAGGGUGCUGCCAUUUAAGAUUAUGCUGAGGAAAAAUUUGUUGACUUGAGAAAGUAUUCAUAGUACACUAUUAAGUUAAAAAAAUAAAGCAGACUCAGCAAAGCUUUCAGUGUAUCAUAUGAUGCUGUUUUUGUUAAAUAACCAGCUACUUAUAGGCAUCAUACAAAGGCCAGAAGGAGUGUCGCAAACCAUUACUGUGGUGGUUUGUUUGUCUUUUCCGUGGUGCUUUUCUGCAUUUUCUAAGUUUUAAGUGUCGAUCUCAUAUUGCUUUAGUACUGAGGAAAAUUUCUCUCAGUGAAUGUUAAUAGGGUGCCCUUCCGAAAAACAGGAAGAGGAGCAAAGACGUGAGAUACGUGUGGUUAUUUCAUUCACUUAUUUCUUCACUUGUGAUUUUUAUUCUGCCUUCAAAAUUUUGCCAUAUUUGUUUCUUGAUUGAGUGAUUGAUGGUAGGAAUUAGACCCACAGCCUUCCCAUAACCCCAGCCUCCCUUUUUCAUUAUUUUUUAUUUUGAAGCAGGGUCUUGCUAAGUUGCUCAGCCACUCAGAGUGCUGGGAUUCCAGGUGGGUGCCACCACACCCAGUUUAUUCAGUCUUUUUUUUUUUUCCUGUUUGUUAGGAAACAAGUGUGUUUAGCACUUAUAAUGUGCUCAGCACGGACAGUUUCAGGCGCUGGGCCGCAGAGUAUGUUUGCUCGAAUCCAGUACCUUGGUUCUUACCAAGCUCAGCUUAGGAGGGCGCCGGAGCCCACGGAAACGCAGAGUCACUCGCUAGCGGCUCUGCAGGGGUGCUCCUGCGUGGGGCCUGGCGAUGUCCUGGUUUAAAGGUGGGCCUGGGGGAUUCUGACAAAUUACCAGGCACCUUCCUUUGAUACCCUUGGGCAUAAAUGAAGUAGAGCCUUUGACACAUGGUGGGAUAUGAAGACCCGACUUGUUGGCUCCACCAUGGAAUCCCACUCAAGUACCCCAGAGUGUCCCCCGACCCUUGCUGCUUAGCCACACUGUCUUACUUUAGAAUGUCUAAGAGGGAAGAUAAUCAAAAUAUACGUAGCCCCUUUGGAGACUGAGAGGUGUGGCAAGCCCUUCCUUCCGUAAGCCAGUCCAAAGCAACAGCACAGGAGCUGAUCGUCAUUCCAGCAGCAGCCACUACUACUCAGCUUCCGCCAGCCACUUUCGAGCCACCUGCCCUUUUCAUCCUCUGCACCUUACAGGUUGAUUCUACAUAGAAUCAUCCUAUGUUACUGACGAGGAAACUGAGGUUCAGAGAGGCUAGUGAGCAUGCCAAGAUUACACGUGCCGGUUAGUUUGUCCCCAAAGACCCUGGGUUCCACUACUGCACUAUCCCCAGUGGCCAGUGCCACCUCUGGCUGUAGGCUGGCUCAGAGCUCCAGAGUAGGGACCGGUGCCAGGCAGCUGGCUACCCGCUGUCUGUUUUCUGGUGUGAAAUUAUUACUUAACCUUAACCUUCUAGAACUAUGCCCUUCAUGGUCCCGGCUAGCGCAGAUGUAGAGGCACUUGGUAGAAGGUGUAAAACAGCCGGCAGCGAGUUUCCACAGCCCCUUGGAAGUGGGCAGUGUUCUCCCGAAUUACACAUUCCUGGGCAGAGGAGUAUGGAGCUCCCCCUCGAGCGGUGCGCUGGGGAUGUGGUGAGGCCCGGGGCCUGCGGCUGCGCCUUUGCUGUGGGGACAGGGGGGCCCUUUGGGUAUUGACAACAUCACAGAGACAUUAUUACAGCUUUUGUUUUAUUGCAAAUCUGUUUUGAAGAAAAACUUCCCUGCUUCUCCAUCCCCAGGCAAAAUUUGUCACUCUUUUAAAUCUACUCGGAUGUGCCAUUUUUAUUUUAUUGAGACACAGUUCACAUGCCAAAAAUUCAUGUAACCUUUUCUUUUUAUUUAUUUAUUGGUUGGUUGUUGUUGUGCUAGGGAUCACAUCUAGGGCCUUAUGCGUGCUAGGCAAGUGCCCUACCACUGUGCUAUGCCCCCAACUCUGGUGAACCCUUUUAAAGUAGUUUCAGUGGUUUUUCAUAUAUUCACAGAGUUGUGCUAUCAUCACCAUUAUUAUGUGCUAUCAUCACCAUUAUCUAAUUCCAAAACGUUUCCAUAGCCCAAGAAAUUAUUUAUUUAUUUAUUUAUUUAUUUAUUUUUUGAGACAGGGUCUUGCUAUGCAGUUCAGGCUGGCAUUGAGCUCACUUUGUAGCCCAGGCUGGUCUCGAACUCGCGACGAUCCUCCUGCCUCAGCCUCCUGAGUGCUGGGAUUACAAGCAUGCACCACCAUGCCUGGCCCUGAAAUCUUUGUUGUUGCUGUUGUUGUUUUGUUUUGUUUUGGUUUUGAGACACAUUAGUUCAGGGGCCUUGGAACUCGCUAUGUAGCCCAAAUUGGCCUUGAACUCUUCAGGGAUCCUCUUGCCUCAGCCUUCUGAGUGUUGGAUUACAGGUGUGUUGGAUUACAGGUGUGUACCACCAUGCCUGCCAGUAGCCCCAAGGAAAUUUUAUCCUCAUAUCCCAGCAAACUCCGGUGAUUUAAAUGGUUAUAUCUUUUCUCCUUAAUUGUGUUGUGAGACUAUGGGACAGGUUACUCUUCCUGGCUCAUAGUAAGUAUUUAGUAAAUGUUUGUUCUUGGUAGUAAAGUUUUCAAUUUUAAGACUAUUCACCUUUUUUUCUGGCCUUUAUGAUAGUUUAAAAAUUUUAGUAAAUGAUAAGAAAAAACCAUAGAGCUGUUUUCCCCUUCUUUUUUCAUUUAGACUCAGAGGUCUCGUAUCUGUUGGGUAAAUAUUUUAUUGGCCUUACUUUUAAUUCAGUUUGAUGUAGGAAAAGACAAGGCCAUCUUGAAUCUUCUUCUCACACAAACAAUGAUAGUUCAGUGAUCCUUUCCUCUUUCUUUCCUUCUUUCUUUCUUUCUUUCUUUCUUUCUUUCUUUCUUUCUAGCUCAUAAAAAUACACAGCUUAGACUGUGGGAAAAGGGGAAGUAAAGUUGAACUGUUGAUAUGCCUGGGUCUGAACUGGUUGUUUACAGAAUGAAAAGCAGGUCACUCAUAGGCUGGGACGUGGCCUUGGUCACGCCUGGGAAUCUACAAACUCAAUUCUCUCUCAUUGGCAGAACAUGAAAGCUAAAGAUUAUCCUCUAAUCCUGUGGCAUUUUUAAAUCCAUGCAAUGGGCUUUGUUGCUCAAAAAUUUCCACUUAAAGUCACACACUCUUUUGGAGGUACAAAUAUUUUGGUUAGCCCAGUGGUAUCUAUGGAAAGACUUACUAGAAUGAAUGCUAUGGUCAGUGCAGAUGCAGGCUGGAUUGUCCCUCUCCAGGAGCGACACUCUCAAGUCCUACUUCUUUUUAAAUUCAAAUAGCACAUGUGAUGUCUUUCUUCUGAUAAACAAGAGGAUAAGAAGCAAUGCACUGUGGGAAAGCGGAAACCACCCUCAUGUCCACCAACGGAUGAGAGGGCAAACAAAAUGUGGCAUAUCUAUACAGCGAAAUAUUAUUAGAUCCUAAAAAGGAACAUGCUGUCAUAUGGAUGUACCUGGAAAAAAAUGAGGCUGAGUAAAAGAAGCCAGACAUAAAAGGCCGCAGG
ensembl:lincRNA